rnacentral:rRNA from 1 species
AUUGAACGCUGGCGGCAUGCUUUACACAUGCAAGUCGAACGAGUGGCGAACGGGUGAGUAACGCAUUGGAACCUACCUAGUAUAGGGGGAUAACUGUUCGAAAGGACAGAUAAUACCGCAUACUAUCCGAGCGGCCGACGUUUGAUUAGCUGGUUGGGGGGGUAACGGCCCACCAAGGCGACGAUCCUUAGCGGGUCUGCGAGGAUGAUCCGCCACACUGGGACUGAGACACGGCCCAGACUCCUACGGGAGGCAGCAGUGGGGAAUUUUGGACAAUGGGCGCAAGCCUGAUCCAGCCAUGCCGCGUGUCUGAAGAAGGCCUUCGGGUUGUAAAGGACUUUUGUCAGGGAAGCGGUACCUGAAGAAUAAGCACCGGCUAACUACGUGCCAGCAGCCGCGGUAAUAC